CUUUCCCCACCCCAAAAUCCUGGGCUGGUCUCACCUGAAACGCUUGACAACAUCAUUAUUGCUUGGAGGUAAAAGCUAUGAGACACACCUUAAUUCUUAUUGCACUGAAACCCUUUGUUGGAUACGAAAAGGUGCAAAGAACUCAGUUCCACGCGCAUUGUUAACAGACGUGAAGCACUCAGACCAGAAUGGGGUUGUCAUUAAAGAGGUAACAUAUUCAUUUGGGGAAAAAAGCAGUGUUUUGUUUAUUAGACCACAAGAACAUCUGAAGCAGAGGAAGAAGACUUUCUGCUUUCACCAACUGCAAAGCUUCCUCAUGCCAUACCUUUCCCUUCCUAUGGGUUGUGCUCAUAGUGGAGAGGGAGAUGUACACAUGUGCUGUGCCAGAGAAACCGAAGAGCUGCUCUAAUCAACAUGUAGUGGAGAAAAGGAACAAUGUGCUGCACAGCUCACUUCUGGUCUCACUUUGGAUGACAAGAGCACAAAUAUGUGAGGAAUGGAGAGAUCAGAGAGGAUUCCCCACUUCACUGUGCAAUAGGUCCCUCCAUUCUGUAGCAGAGGCAUUGUAAGUCCCACCUUGCAUCCUUGGGACACCUGAAUCAUCUUGCAACGUGCGAGAAAAGCAUAGAGUGAGCUUCUGCUCUACCACUGAACGUGGGACGAGGGUGCACGUUUCAUCCCUGAAAGUGCAAUAUGACUGUUGCUCUCCUGAGCCUGCCAAGCCCACCACAGUGCUGGGCAUCUCCCAGGGCUGAACUCAAGCUGGGAAAAGAGGGCUCAGCACAUCUGAGGUUACUCAGCACCUCCCAGGAUGAAGCCCCAUGCUCCUGCUGGGUAAGCAGCUUUGCAGCGUGCUGUGCCUAUGCACUGCUUAGCACGAGUGCUUUACUGCCUUGCAGCUGGCUGGGGCUGCCAAAUUCAGUCAUGCAUGUCCAUGCUCUCACUCGGCUUCUGGUACUGAGAUCAAUUUGAAAUUUGCUUUUGGAUUAAACAAAAGUAAAGAGUUAUUU